rnacentral:rRNA from 1 species
UACCAGCACCCCGAGUGGUCGGGACGUUUAUUGGGCCUAAAGCAUCCGUAGCCGGUUCUACAAGUCUUCCGUUAAAUCCACCUGCUUAACAGAUGGGCUGCGGAAGAUACUAUAGAGCUAGGAGGCGGGAGAGGCAAGCGGUACUCGAUGGGUAGGGGUAAAAUCCGUUGUUCCAUUGAAGACCACCAGUGGCGAAGGCGGCUUGCCAGAACGCGCUCGACGGUGAGGGAUGAAAGCUGGGGGAGCAAACCGG